GAGAAAUUAAACCAUCAACCUGGACCCCAUCCUUCACUUGGGAAGAUUUCGCCGGGGAUUCAUAUUUCAAACACGAUAUCGUCACGGUUCCUUCUUCUACUUAUUCUAAGAAUGAACAAAUUAAAACAGAGAAAAAAGAAGAUUUAGAUCUCAAUCUCUCACUUUGAUCCGUCUUUCUAUUCUCUCUGUAUAUGUAAACAAUAUACCCAUGCAAG
rnacentral:misc_RNA from 1 species